rnacentral:rRNA from 1 species
UACAGAGGUCUCAAGCGUUGUUCGGAUUCAUUGGGCGUAAAGGGUGCGUAGGCGGCGGGGAAAGUCAGAUGUGAAAUCCGGAGGCUCAACCUCCGAAUGGCAUCCGAUACUACCUCGCUAGGAUGAUUUGUAGAGGAGUCUUGGAAUUCUCGGUGUAGCAGUGAAAUGCGUAGAUAUCGUAAGGAAGACCAGUGGCGAAGGCGGGUCUCUGGACAGUUCCUGACGCUGAGGCACGAAGGUCAGGGGAGCAAACGGG